rnacentral:rRNA from 1 species
AACCUUACCAGGUCUUGACAUCCUUUGACCAUCCUAGAGAUAGGACUUUCCCUUCGGGGACAAAGUGACAGGUGGUGCAUGGUUGUCGUCAGCUCGUGUCGUGAGAUGUUGGGUUAAGUCCCGCAACGAGCGCAACCCUUAUUGUUAGUUGCCAUCAUUCAGUUGGGCACUCUAGCGAGACUGCCGCAGACAAUGCGGAGGAAGGUGGGGAUGACGUCAAAUCAUCAUGCCCCUUAUGACCUGGGCUACACACGUGCUACAAUGGAGAGUACAACGAGUCGCAAAGCCGCGAGGCUAAGCCAAUCUCUUAAAGCUCUUCUCAGUUCGGAUUGUAGGCUGCAACUCGCCUACAUGAAGCCGGAAUCGCUAGUAAUCGCGGAUCAGCACGCCGCGGUGAAUACGUUCCCGGGC